GAAGACACGAGCAGAGCAGGGAAGUAAGUAACUCCGCUUUGACGGGAGUUUUUGAGUAAGGUCUUCAGGUGGGCAAUAUUUUGAGUAUACAUAUAUUAUUCGAACUUUCUAAAAUGAUUUGAUGAUAUAAUGAUGUUAUGAGCUUAUCAAAUAAAUUGAGAUAAAUGAUGUUUGAGAACUGUUUGACUUGCCAAUUUUUGAUGUUGAGCUUGUAUGUUACCCUCUACUGAUGAGAUAAGACGAAUUGGGUCCUGCCACAAGCGGGAUUUUGUGCACAGAGGUGACUGUGAGCCGUCUUCGGGUCGGCCGGUCACGGUACUUGAGAGGGAGGCCUACUUCUCAGUACCUUUGAUGAUGAUGAGUUGUAGAUGUGGUACAUACAUGUUGAGAUCUUUGACUGCAGUCGUUUACUUAUGAUGUCAUGAUUAUGAAAACUGCAUGCACAGACUCAUUUAAUACUAACUUAUUUCUGUGUAUUGCUGAGAUGUGGCAAGCUUCAAACUUAUAGCUCUAUGAGCACCUUUCUUGAUUUUCGGCGUUUGCCCACUGAGUAUUAUGUACUCACGCCCUGCAUAUAUUUCUAAAUGUGCAGGCUAAGCGAGGAGCGAGAUUGGUCUGGUGCUGGCGGGGAAUUGUUAGAGGAUGUAUUUACUUUAUCGUAUUUCUAUUUUGACGAUAAAGUCUUGAUGAUUGAUAUACUUUGAUUUUCUUUUGAAUUUAAGCAAUGUACUCACGGUUAUAUGUCUUCAUACAUAUAAUCGGUUCACCUUUUGCUGCGAUACUCUGCAUAUUGUGAUUCCUUACGAAAAAUGAGCGAUACCCG
rnacentral:lncRNA from 1 species